rnacentral:rRNA from 1 species
GACGAACGCUGGCGGCGUGCUUAACACAUGCAAGUCGAACGGAAAGGCCCUGCUUUUGUGGGGUGCUCGAGUGGCGAACGGGUGAGUAACACGUGAGUAACCUGCCCUUGACUUUGGGAUAACUUCAGGAAACUGGGGCUACUACCGGAUAGGAGCUCCUGCUGCAUGGUGGGGGUUGGAAAGUUUCGGCGGUUGGGGAUGGACUCGCGGCUUAUCAGCUUGUUGGUGGGGUAGUGGCUUACCAAGGCUUUGACGGGUAGCCGGCCUGAGAGGGUGACCGGCCACAGUGGGACUGAGAUACGGCCCAGACUCCUACGGGAGGCAGCAGUGGGGAAUAUUGCACAAUGGGCGGAAGCCUGAUGCAGCAACGCCGCGUGCGGGAUGACGGCCUUCGGGUUGUAAACCGCUUUCGCCUGUGACGAAGCGUGAGUGACGGUAAUGGGUAAAGAAGCACCGGCUAGCUACGUG